GACACUCUCUUCUUCGAGGAUCGUAUUGUUGUGCCCAAAGGUGACCUCCGUAAAGUGAUCAUGAACGAGGCUCACAAUUCUCUCCUCUCCAUCCACCCUGGGAGCACGAAGAUGUAUCAGGACCUCAAGCAGGCUUAUUGGUGGACUCGAAUGAAGCGCGAGAUUGCUCAAUUCAUGAAUGAAUGUGAUGUAUGCAGAAGAGUGAAGGCAGAACACCAAAGGCCAGCUGGUCUCCUCCAGCCUCUUGCCAUUCCAGAAUGGAAGUUUGACCAUAUUGAGAUGGACUUCGUGACUGGGUUUCCAAAGUCCAAGCGUGGCAAUGAUGCUAUAUUCGUUGUCAUCGACAAACUCACCAAAGUGGCUCACUUUCUGCCUAUCAAAGAGUCAAUCACUGCAGCUCAAUUGGCAGAACUCUAUACCUCUCGGAUUGUCUCUCUGCACGGUAUUCCUCAAGUGAUCUCUUCAUACCGUGGCAGCAUCUUUACCUCCAAGUUUUGGGAUUCUUUUCAGAAGGCCAUGGGCACCAACAUCCGCUUCAGCACAGCUUUCCAUCCUCAAACUAGCGGUCAAGUCGAGCGUGUCAACCAGAUUCUUUAA
rnacentral:rRNA from 1 species